GAUGAACGCUGGCGGCGUGCCUAAUACAUGCAAGUCGAGCGAACAGAUGAGGAGCUUGCUCCUCUGACGUUAGCGGCGGACGGGUGAGUAACACGUGGAUAACCUACCUAUAAGACUGGGAUAACUUCGGGAACCCGGAGCUAAUACCGGAUAAUAUAUUGAACCGCAUGGUUCAAUAGUGAAAGACGGUUUUGCUGUCACUUAUAGAUGGAUCCGCGCCGCAUUAGCUAGUUGGUAAGGUAACGGCUUACCAAGGCAACGAUGCGUAGCCGACCUGAGAGGGUGAUCGGCCACACUGGAACUGAGACACGGUCCAGACUCCUACGGGAGGCAGCAGUAGGGAAUCUUCCGCAAUGGGCGAAGGCCUGACGGAGCAACGCCGCGUGAGUGAUGAAGGUCUUCGGAUCGUAAAACUCUGUUAUUAGGGAAGAACAAAUGUGUAAGUAACUAUGCACGUCUUGACGGUACCUAAUCAGAAAGCCACGGCUAACUACGUG
rnacentral:rRNA from 1 species